CCGGGGAUUCCCAUGAUGCACUGGGUGUUUCUUCUUCACUCACUAUGUGUUUAUUGACCACUCUGCACUGAAUCAUUUGGCUCUCUUCCACGGCGUGUCUUUGUGUCGUCUUCCUCCUCUCACCCCCACCUUCCCUGAGCCUGGUUCAGCCGGAGGUUUCUUCCUGUUAAAAGGGAGUUUUUCCUUCCCACUGUUGCCAAAGAGCUGCUCAUAGGGGGUCAUAUGAUUGCUGGGUGUUACUCUGUGUUAUUGUAGGCUACACCUUACAAUACAAAGCAUCUUGAGGUGACCGCUGUGAUUUGAAUUGAAAUUGAGGUUGAUGAAGAGCCGGGGUGCACCUGUUGCCUUGAGUCAGAUUUAUAAAGGUGUGCACAAACAUGUUGUCUGAUGUCUGUCUGCACCUGAACACCACAGGAAGAGGGAGGCAGGCUGUCACUGCCGGAGUCAGUUCAGAGCUGAAGCUGUGUGAGGACGAAGAGAAGCUAUUUAAAGCUUCACAGUCACCGUGAAUAAUAAGGAGCCUGAUGAAUUAUUCACUUUGUACCCAUGAAUAUAUUUAUAUGUGAAAGCAUGUGCACAGCUGCAGUGAGGUCUACGUGAGGUUAUUAUUCCAUCUGCAGCGAUCUAAAUUUGGAGCUGCACUUCCCGUUCAGGGACCUCCGGGCGUCUCCGUGAGCAAACAGCAGCAGAGUCUGAAAGCCUCCUGCUGAUUGGAUCAGAGAGAGCAGGCAGACCGAUGCAGGCGGGAGUUCUGUGUGAGUGAGCUGCUGAGGAUGGCGCCGGCUUCCUCACUGUGCUGUCGGUCGAACAGGGCUGGCUUUAAAAAAUUUAUUUUAAUUUGAAUAAUGCAAUAUUGAUUCAUUAAAUCCUGAACCGGCCUGGCUCUGCUGAAGGUUUCUUCCUGUUAUAAGGGGUUUUUUCCUUCCCCCUGUCACCAAAGUGCUUGCUCACAGGGGCUGUUGCGGUUUCUCUGUAUUAUUGUAGGUGUUUACAGGAUUGGGGCGACUACUGAUAUGAAUGAAGCUGAAUUGAACUGAAACCUAAUUGGGCAAUCACCUCGUCAAACAGGUGUGCUUUGCUUUAAAUGCGACAGGAAGUGGAACUGAUAACGUACCUGUGUGUUUCCAGGUGAGUUGUGGUUGGACAGAGGGAAUCCUCGCACUGACAGCAAUGCUUCACUGGCUCAGGACAGUGAGGCCCCGCCCAGCAGCCCAGGUGACAUCAGAGAGCAGUCCUCCCUUGUGUCCAGUUGGAGGUCUCAGUUUUGUUUGCUGAUGUAAGCUCUCCUGAUUGGACAGUCGGUAAUCGGAGAGGACCUGUCAGCGUCACUGAAGUCCUUAGAGCUUCAGUCAGCUAAUGCUGCAGCGUUGCCGUGGCUCAGACUGAGAAUCAGAGCUGAGCCAUCACAUUGUGCUGCUCACUCUGACCCGAGACUCUGACAACAGAAAACCUAAAAAGAAAUAAAAACACACAACCAGC